rnacentral:tRNA from 1 species
GUCCCUGUAGCGCAAUGGAUAAGCGUGUUGGACUUCUAAUCCAAAGGUCGUGGGCCUCAAUCCCACCCGGGAUA